rnacentral:rRNA from 1 species
GAUGGAGCAACGCCGCGUGUGUGAUGAAGGUUUUCGGAUCGUAAAGCACUUUCGACCGGGACGAAAAACCUCUGGCUAACAUCCAGGGGCCUGACGGUACCGGGAGAAGAAGCACCGGCUAACUCUGUGCCAGCAGCCGCGGUAAUACAGAGGGUGCAAGCGUUGUUCGGAAUUAUUGGGCGUAAAGCGCGUGUAGGCGGCUUGGCAAGUCAGAUGUGAAAGCCCUCGGCUUAACCGAGGAAGUGCGUCUGAAACUGCUGAGCUUGAGUGUCGGAGAGGAUGGCGGAAUUCCGCAAGUAGAGGUGAAAUUCGUAGAUAUGCGGAGGAACACCGGUGGCGAAGGCGGCCAUCUGGACGACUACUGACGCUGAGACGCGAAAGCGUGGGGAGCAAACAGGAUUAGAUACCCUGGUAGUCCACGCUGUAAACGAUGAGAACUAGGUGUCGUGGGUGUUGACCCCCGCGGUGCCGCAGCUAACGCAUUAAGUUCUCCGCCUGGGAAGUACGGCCGCAAGGCUAAAACUCAAAGGAAUUGACG